CUCCUGACCAUGAAGAAGCAGACGUGCCCGUUCCAAAUAAGACUGACUGGCUUUACAUCCUAGUGCCCUCACUUGUGUGCAUCCUUACUUGCAUACUUGCUGGUUUCAUACACAAGUUUCGACACAGACAGACCCCUGAGGACGAUAUGCAAGGAUCUGAACAGAAGGUUGAGGCGUCGCUAGUGAGGGAAAAAGUGACAUUGAGUAUUGGGGGCCCAGAACUAUCGGAAGGUCCACAACGAUCCAUCAAAAGUGCCUUAGCAGUUUCUACCGAAAAGCUUUUUCUAACAACUGCAAUUUUGAGCGGGCAGGACUGUCUUCUCACGCUCCAGACAUCUGAGUACUGUACGGAGGACCUGGAAAACCCAGCGACACCCCGGUCUGCAGGUGAUGAGGGGGACUCACUUGAACAAAAACGUUUCAUUGUAGCAGAAUGAAUUUGCAAGAUCAAGAAGAAGCACUUUCACUCGUUCACUAAAAAACCUGAUAUACUAAUGUAAAGUUGUUUUCGUUCUUCGCUAAUAGGCAAUUAUUUGAAACUUCAGUUUCUACUAUAAAGCAACUCUCUUCAUGAAGCGUCUGAACUCAAUGGACCAGACAGAAGAAAUGAACUGAAGAUUUCAGAUUUUCAGAGUCUCUAAGCCACACCCACCUAUUAUGCCACGGACCAAUGGUAGUUCAGUGUUUACCAGCCACAGCAAACAUUUGCAUAAAGUUUGCUUUGCAGAACAGUUUCAGAAUCAUGAAACGAAAACGCAGGGAUUUGUGUAUAAAAUCUUUGCAUGAAUUAACUUUCGUACUAAAAUAUAUUCUAAAUAAUGAAUAAAAUUUAGUAACACCUGAAACCAUUGACACAAAGACCACAUACUCUGCUACACAUGC